rnacentral:rRNA from 1 species
CCUACGUGGUGCUGCAGUGGGGAAUAUUGCACAAUGGGGGAAACCCUGAUGCAGCGACGCCGCGUGAGUGAAGAAGUAUUUCGGUAUGUAAAGCUCUAUCAGCAGGAACGAGACAAGACGGUACCUGACUAAGAAGCCCCGGCUAACUACGUGCCAGCAGCCGCGGUAAUACGUAGGGGGCAAGCGUUAUCCGGAAUCACUGGGUGUAAAGGGAGGGUAGACGGCUGUGCAAGCCUGAAGUGAAAGGCGGGGGCCCAACCCCUGGACUGCUUUGGGAACUGUACGGCUGGAGUGAAGGAGAGGUAAGUGGAAUUCCUAGUGUAGCGGUGAAAUGCGUAGAUAUUAGGAGGAACACCAGUGGCGAAGGCGGCUUACUGGACUGUAACUGACGUUGAGGCUCGAAAGCGUGGGGAGCAAACAGGAUUAGAUACCCUAGUAGUC